rnacentral:rRNA from 1 species
UAUACUGUGAAACUGCGAAUGGCUCAUUAAAUCAGUUAUCGUUUAUUUGAUAGUACCUUACUACUUGGAUAACCGUGGUAAUUCUAGAGCUAAUACAUGCUAAAAACCGCGACUUCGGAAGCGGUGUAUUUAUUAGAUAAAAAACCAAUGCCCUUCGGGGCUCCUUGGUGAUUCAUGAUAACUUAACGAAUCGCAUGGCCUUGCGCCGGCGAUGGUUCAUUCAAAUUUCUGCCCUAUCAACUUUCGAUGGUAGGAUAGUGGCCUACCAUGGUAUCAACGGGUAACGGGGAAUUAGGGUUCUAUUCCGGAGAGGGAGCCUGAGAAACGGCUACCACAUCCAAGGAAGGCAGCAGGCGCGCAAAUUACCCAAUCCCGACACGGGGAGGUAGUGACAAUAAAUACUGAUACAGGGCUCUUUUGGGUCUUGUAAUUGGAAUGAGUACAAUUUAAAUACCUUAACGAGGAACAAUUGGAGGGCAAGUCUGGUGCCAGCAGCCGCGGUAAUUCCAGCUCCAAUAGCGUAUAUUAAAGUUGUUGCAGUUAAAAAGCUCGUAGUUGAACCUUGGGCCUGGCUGGCCGGUCCGCCUCACCGCGUGUACUGGUCCGGCCGGGCCUUUCCUUCUGGGGAUCCGCAUGCCCUUCACUGGGUGUGUCGGGGAACCAGGACUUUUACUUUGAAAAAAUUAGAGUGUUCAAAGCAGGCCUUUGCUCGAAUACAUUAGCAUGGAAUAAUAGAAUAGGACGUGCGGUCCUAUUUUGUUGGUUUCUAGGACCGCCGUAAUGAUUAAUAGGGAUAGUCGGGGGCAUCAGUAUUCAAUUGUCAGAGGUGAAAUUCUUGGAUUUAUUGAAGACUAACUACUGCGAAAGCAUUUGCCAAGGAUGUUUUCAUUAAUCAGUGAACGAAAGUUAGGGGAUCGAAGACGAUCAGAUACCGUCGUAGUCUUAACCGUAAACUAUGCCGACUAGGGAUCGGUCGAUGUUAUUCUUUUGACUCGCUC